AGUUGGCAGGAUGGCAGCAGCAGACACACAGGGUGGUUAAGAACAACAAACACAGUAUUUCAAACUCAUGAAACUCUAACUUUGGGAAUGUGUAUGUGUUGUUGAAGGAGUCCUCAUGAAACUAGCGUGGACAACACUAGAUUGACCACUGGCUACCAACCGGCGUAGGAAUUCAACCUACAUGAAGACUCAGAGUCAGGACCCACCCUGCACCCCCAAACUGUUGCGCUUUCCCAGAGCCCCUGCCGUGCCGUCCUUCCCUGACUUUCUAGUUCCCACCCCUGACCAGCUCUUGGGCUCUCUGCACUGAGCUCUCUGCCCUGCAACUUUAGUACAUGGGAUACAAGCUUCAUCAGCUCCCUGGCCCUUGUUCAGAACAGCUGCUCGCCGUGAAGUGGACAUGCAUGUGCUAGAACAUCUUUCCUUGUACUGAGGAAUGAUAAAGCGCUGGAUGAUGCCCAUCCUGCUUACUGUCUCUGGGGACAAAUUGGGAACAUACAAGGUGCCAAUCCCAGAUGAAAUGGCAUGAUGCUAGCGUCUGUGUCUUGGGGGCUCUGAAUACUCCAGGUCUGGUUCUGCCCCUGAGGACUGAGGAGAUCAAUAUCUCCACUCAGAAUGUCCUAGUAGUAAAACUAGUAGUAAAGCUCUGGGCCAGGGUUUCUCAAACUUCAGUGUGUGUCAGGAUCCCUGUUAAGGCUUGUUGAAAUAGAUUGCUGGGCCCCAUCCCCACUUUCUAAUGGGUAGGCCUGGGGUGCUGCUUAAGAAUCUGCAUUUGUGAGAAGUGUCCAGGAGAUGUUGAUGCCACUGGUGGGGAAGAAUACUUUGACAGCGACUGCUACAGAAUAUAGCAUUUCUAAUAGGAUUCAAUGAAAAUUUCCACUUUCCUUUGAUACAUUUCUAAAAUCAAUCUUUUCGAACCUGUAUCCCAAGAAAAUGUGGUGCAUAUACACCAUGGGAUACUACAUAGUCAUAAAAAAAAAAAAAACAAAAUGAUGUCCUCUGCGGCAGCAUGGAUGCAGCUGGAGGCCAUUAUUCUAAGUGAAUCAAUAUAGAAACAAGAAACCAAAUACCACAUGUUUUCACUUAUAAGUGGAAGCCAAAUACUGGGUAUAUAUGGGCCUACAGAUAGGAACAAUAAACACUGAGGACUCCAAAAAAGAAGAGGGAGAUGGGCAAGGGUGGAAAAACCACCUAUUGGGUACGAUGUUCACUAUUUGGGUGAGGGGCUCAACUGAAGCCCAAACCUCAGCAUCAUGCAAUAUGUCCAUGUAACAAACUUGCACAUGUACCCCUUGAAUCUAAAAUAAAAUGAAAAAAUCCCUACAUCCAUCUGUCUUCCUGAAAUUUUUAUAGCACACAGAAGAUUCUUGCCAUUCACAGAUUUAAGACGUGCAGUUUAGAAAUAUGAAAGCAACCCAAAUAAAAUAACGUUGAAUUUCAC
rnacentral:lncRNA from 1 species